rnacentral:rRNA from 1 species
CAAUAGCGUAUAUUAAAGUUGUUGCAGUUAAAAAGCUCGUAGUUGGAUUUCUGGUCGGAAGCUCCUGUCCUCUGAUGAGCGUACAAGUGCGUCCUACCAUCCUUCUGUUAACCUUUAAGGCUUUCGCGGCUUUCUAGGGGCUCAGAUAUUUUACCUUGAGAAAAUUAGAGUGUUUCAGGCAGGCUAGCGCCGGAAUACAUUAGCAUGGAAUAAUGGAAUAGGACUUUUGCCUCUUCUGUUGGUCAUGAGGCUCGAGUAAUGAUUAAUAGGGAUAGUUGGGGGCAUCAGUACUUAACUGUCAGAGGUGAAAUUCUCGGAUUUGUUAAAGACUAACUUAUGCGAAAGCAUUUGCCAAGGAUGUUUUCAUUAA